CCUACGGGUGGCAGCAGUGAGGAAUAUUGGUCAAUGGGCGGAAGCCUGAUGCAGCCAUGUCGCGUGCAGGAUGACGGCCCUACGGGUUGUAAACUGCUUUUAUACGGGAAUAACGCGCCUUACGUGUAGGGCUUUUCAUGUACCGUAUGCGUAAGGACAGGCUAAUUCCGUGCCAGCCGCCGCGGUGAUACGGAAGGUCCGGGCGUUAUCCGGAUUGAUUGGGUUUAAAGGGAACGUAGGCCGCAUGUCAAGCGUGCUGUGAAAUGUCCGGGCUCAACCCGGGCCUUGCAGCGCGUACGGGCGUGCUUGAGUCUGCGGAAAGCAGGAGGAAGUCGUCGUGUAGCGGUGAAAUGCUUAGAUAUGACGAAGAACCCCGAUUGCGAAGGCAGCUUGCUGCAGCGGAACUGACGCUGAGGUGCGAAAGCGCGGGUAUCGAACAGGAUUAGAUACCCGUGUAGUC
rnacentral:rRNA from 1 species